UACGAAGGGGGCUAGCGUUGUUCGGAAUUACUGGGCGUAAAGCGCGCGCAGGCGGUUCUCCAAGUCAGUGGUGAAAGCCCGGAGCUCAACUCCGGAAUUGCCAUUGAAACUGUUGAACUUGAGGACGAGAGAGGUGAGUGGAAUUCCCAGUGUAGAGGUGAAAUUAGUAGAUAUUGGGAAGAACACCGGUGGCGAAGGCGGCUCACUGGCUCGUUUCUGACGCUCAGGCGCGACAGCGUGGGGAUCAAACAGG
rnacentral:rRNA from 1 species